rnacentral:rRNA from 1 species
GAUGAACGCUGGCGGUGUGCCUAAUACAUGCAAGUCGAGCGGAAACGACUUCGGGUGUCGAGCGGCGGACGGCUGAGUAACGCGUAGGAACGUACCCCAAACUGAGGGAGUAACUAGCCCGAAAGGGUAAGGCUAAUACCGCAUGUGAUCUUCGGAUUAAAGCUUCGGUCGGUUUGGGUAACGGACCUGCGUAUGAUUAGCUUGUUGGUGAGGUAAAAGACUCACCAAGGCGACGAGUCAUUAGCUGGUCUGAGAGGAUGAUCAGCC